GACAGAGGGUGCAAACGUUGUUCGGAAUUACUGGGCGUAAAGCGUGUGUAGGCGGUCCACUAAGUCGGGCGUGAAAGCCCUGGGCUCAACCCAGGAAGUGCACUCGAAGCUGGCGGGCUAGAGUAUCGGAGAGGUUGGUGGAAUUCUCGGUGUAGAGGUGAAAUUCGUAGAUAUCGAGAGGAACACCGGUGGCGAAGGCGGCCAACUGGACGAAUACUGACGCUGAGGCGCGACAGCGUGGGGAGCAAACAGG
rnacentral:rRNA from 1 species